rnacentral:rRNA from 1 species
UACGUAGGGGGCUAGCGUUGUCCGGAAUCAUUGGGCGUAAAGCGCGCGUAGGCGGCCCGGUAAGUCCGCUCUGAAAGCCCAGGGCUCAACCCUGGAAUUGCCUUUAAGACUGCAUCGCUUGAACAUCGGAGAGGUAAGUGGAAUUCCGAGUGUAGAGGUGAAAUUCGUAGAUAUUCGGAAGAACACCAGUGGCGAAGGCGACUUACUGGACGAUUGUUGACGCUGAGGUGCGAAAGCGUGGGGAGCAAACAGG